ACCCAUGAGUGCCAUUUCUUCUUUUCCUUAAAUCUGAGAAAGUUGCUGUUCUCAGUAGUAAUAAACCUCUUAAAAAUUCCGUAAUGUAAGGCCAAGAAGAGAAGAGAGCCAAUUAAUAUGCAACAGAAGGAAAUGUAAUGAUGGUUUUGGAAGUUGAACAUGCUACUGUUUGUGAAGCAUCACUUAGCUUGGUGUUUUAUUUCCUUGGUUUCCUUUCAGAAAGCCAAAUUCUAAAUUAUGUGUCCAUAUAAUUUCCCCCCCCCCACUUCCCUUGAUGGGUAAUAUGAAGCCUUAAAUAUGUACUUUCUGGUGACAGAGUUAUUUGCUCCUGGGCUAAAUAAGGUCUGUCCUUUGAUUUUGAUUUGACUCUUUAGUCAUUCUGAUAUUAAACUUAUACUUGUCAAUAGAAAAAUGAAAUCUGCACUUGCUUUUUUAAUUGGAAUGGUGUGGAAUGGCUUGUUGUGAAUAAAGUGCUUAAUCUAGUUGUGGAGCCCAGAAGCAAUCUGGGGAAAGUUCAAAGUAAUUUUGUCAUCCUAAUACUUGUCAAUGUUCUGUUUUUAUUUACCAACAAAGCAUGUACUAGGGAACAAGA